CCUUAUUAUUUGCUGCCGGCCACAACAUACUCCAUGGGUCAAGAAGUUUAAUGUUACCAAAAUGGGAGUAGUGGUGAAAGUGGGAUACCUAUAAUGAAAUGAAGGUAUUUAUGCAGACUCAACCAGGAGACAGUGUGAUAAGAGGGGAAGCGUGCACAGUGCAAGCUGUCAGUGGAUCUACCAUUCUGAAGUCUGGAGUUGGAGGAUCUACUAUUCUGGGGUCUGGAGGAUGGUGGCCCACUUUUCACAGCUCCACUAGGCAGUGCCCCAAAGGCCCACAAAGAUAAUAAAGAAAAGAGAAAAUACGUAUGAUAAUCAAGGUCUUAGAGAGAGUGGAUCACAGGCCAACCACAUUUUCAUUUUUGAAGAAGUAAUUCUGAAAGAGAGAUUUCGAAAUUGGUUGGAAACAUGAUUUCUAUCUUCACAAGACUCUGUAAGGAGGUAUAUGUUCAAUAAUCAAAGUAAAUUUUAAACAAUACUGAAAAAAUGCAAUAUUCAUUGUGUGCUACAUAUACACUAUACACUACACUAUAUACAG
rnacentral:lncRNA from 1 species